CUCGCUUUGGAGGCGGGCUCAGCAAGCGGCGCUCCACCGCCAUUGGUCGGGAGCCCUGCAGUAACCAGGGGAACUGCAAACAGUGUAGGGGCAGCUUCCGGUUCGAGCACCCGUAACCGCCGUAACCGCCGUAACCGCCGCCUUUAAGGAUGGACGAGAUCGGUGCAGAUCCGAACAGAAGCCGGCUCGAGGCUGCACAUCGAACCCCCCGUGGACUACUCGGAAGAUUUUGAGUCGACUGAGGAUGCCGAUGCCAAGACCAUGGAUGUUUCUGGGGAUCGUCCACAGGAGCUGAGAAGAAGCCUGGAACUCAGUGCAAACGCACAGAGGAGACAGGGGGAUUGUCCCAGUGACGACUAUGACUCUAUUGAAGAAGACGUCACCUCUGAGCCCGAGCCUGAGCCCGAGGGCUGUCCUGGAGGUGACUGCCCUCUGUCCACUGGGGACAAGGAUGCUCCUGAGGACCGGGAGGCAGGUGGACGUCCCCCGCACGGCGCGGACACCCUCAUCGUGUUGGAAUUUAACCCCGCUUCUCAAAGUGAGUUCUGUCUUCCGUGGCAUUUCGUUGCCUGUGGCGUCGCUGGUUCUAGCAGGAGGGCUUCGGCUUGCAACGCUGUUUUGAGUUGCGCUUCCAGGGUGGAGUUGUCCAUCAGGUCCCUGUUGACUAUGGAAGGAAGACUCCUGGAUGCUUCCUGAGGCGCCUGAAACUCCAGGUGGCAAAUGUAUGGCGAGUACUCGCGGGCGCCGUCCCAAGCCUUGGAGGGAGUGUGGCCGUGUCUCCCUUCCAGUUGGCUCACGCCGGGAAGUUAAGCCAAGGGGACUGUUGCUGGCUCAGAUGACAGUAGGGCUCGUUUCUCUUCUCUUUUUUGGUGCAAAAAAAAAAAAAAAAAGCAUUGAAAUCUACACACAAUUUUAUUUAUAAUAUGCAUUUUCAGUGAACUUUCUCAUGAUCCCUUGUAUGCACUGAUUUCAAAAUGAUCUGCUCCUUUAAUGCCAUUUUCCAUGAAGAUUUUGGGGUUCCCUUCACACUUAAUAAAUGGUAAAGACUCAGUAUGCAUUGACUAUUAUUAUCAUCGUCUUUUAAGGAGGCAUAAUAAAUAAAGGAUAUUGUGAUUUUUUUUAUGCCACCCAUAUGUUGGGUUUGGUUACAGCAAGGCAAAUCUCUUUCUCCAAUAUCUCAGUCUUAUUUCUGCUCUUUUUUAAAAAACCAUUUAUUUAUUUAUUUAUUUGAAAGGCUGAGAGAGAGAGGGAGACAGAGAGAGGUCUUGCAUCUGCUGAUUUGCUCCCCAGAUGGUCACAACAGCCAGGGCUGGGCCAGGCUAAAGCCAGGGACCUGCAGCUCCAUCAGAGUCUCCCUCGCGGGUGGCAGUGACCCAAGUGCUUGGGCCGUCAUCUGCUGCCUCCCAGGGUGCACACGGGCAGGGAGCUGGACUCAGAAGCUGGACACCAACAUGGGAGGCUCCGAGGCAGCGUCUUGGCCAGCACCCGCCUCUCCACCCCUUUCUGUCACUCUCAGGGAUCCCUCCCGAGCCGUCCAGCCUCACUCUGCGAAAGCACUUUCUGCAAUUACAAGGAGAGAGGACAGAGGGGGCCCUUGUCUAGUCCUUCUCAGAUCUACUCCGGCGACGCUGUGAGAUGACGGCCAGCAAUGCCUCCCUGCUCUUUUCCUGGGGGACCCCCGCCCCAGCUCUGCUACAGGUGGUGGAGGGAGUGGCGAUCAUUAGGCACCGCCCUCAUUUCUGGUGGAGAAGCCAAACAGCAGGGAGGCCUGCGUGUUCAGAGCUCACCCGUCAGGCAUCAAGCUGAAGCUGGCAGCCAAGUCCUGAGUCUCGUGAUCUAGGGUCACUUCCAGGAGAACCUGCAGCUCUGCGCCAGCCUGCCCCUACCAUCGCACCCAUUGUAACAGGGGUGAGAAAAGGCCGACAUAGCCAGCUAGACUUCGGUAGGAUCAUCUCUGCUUUACAUACACACGUGCACACGUGCACAUGCACGCACACACAAGAUGCAUGUGUCUAUGUUUCUUUACUCGAUGGCAACUUGUUCUGGUUUUCCACUUCAAAUCGCGAUAUGAAGCUUCCCUCUCAAACGUCCUUACGUAAGGCAAACAUGAGUCAAUGGGGAGCAACAACAACCAAACAAUCCUAGCAGAACAGGAAUUAAUUUCUGAAGGUGACAUAAAAAUGGCCGAAGUCUGGGCGAGGCUAGGGCUGGGUGAGUUCUCCGCUUCUGGGCUCCAUUCCAAGCCAAGAGCUUGCAGGGUCCCCACUCCACACGGGUGCACAACUCACAUCAAGGUUUCUACCAGUGACGUUCCCUGGAGUCGUGCAGUGCUCAGCCUGCCCGAGUGUACACAGCAGCCAUGGAUAUUUUUAGAGUUACAAGUAUCCCAAACAGACACAGGAAGAGAGAGAGAGAGAAUCUUCUGGCCGGCUGCCCUGGAGUUGGCAGCCAAAGUUCCUCACUUCAAAUUGUAUUAUUUUCUAUUCAGGAUCCUCCUGUAGCCUCUCCAAGCACAGGCACCACCAGGCAGCCCAAGCAGCACUGGUCCCCAGCCUGUCCUCGGGGAGAGGAAGGGACGAAACAGGCACAGGGGAUCCUCUCGGGGGAGACUCACUCCCGGGGAGCCUUCCAGGAAAAUGCACAGCCAGUGAGCCCCCAUUCAGGUCCCAAGGCACAGGUGGCUGUUGACAGGAGAAUAAGGAAGGCAGGAGCCAUCCCUUAAAAAACCAGCUGACACUGACAUCCUGGUGGCUCCAGGGGGCGUGAGUCAGCUUUCCAUUACUUGAACUAAAAUGCCUGCAAGGUGCUCCUUAGGAAGGAAGAAGGUUUAUUUCAGCUUAUGUUUUUGGAGGUUCACAGUACAAGAUCGGACAGACCCAUUCAGCUGGUGUCUGUGCAGACAGGGACCCAACAGCAAGCCAGGAAGCAGAGAGACACAGGGUUUCGAUAACCAAGCCUCUUGGGGGAACUGCCUUCUCCCAGGGUAAGCCCCAAUCACCUAAACAUUUCCCAGGCACCAUGAUUAGAUCAGCUGUCCACCCUCAAGUCAUCCACCAACCGUUAAACCAUGACCCACUAUCAUAAGACUAAGGGGUUUAUGUGUCUGUGGAGCCGAAUCCUGAUCAAAUUCAGUAAAGAAUAGAAACAAUUCAUGGUGUAAAAACACCAUGGAGCCUACAUCAACACACUACCAAAAUUAAGCCAUUGGAGGCUUCGUGGUUGUAACAUCUUCAUGUAAAAACCACACAAGCAGCACAACUCAGAUGGGCAGACGCCAGUCACAGCGUGUUCCUUAGAAGAAAUCUAAUACUGGACACGCCCACUUAGAGACAGUGACAGCACAAUCUCUUCCUCCUUCCAGAAAGCAGCAAAGUCCCUUAGCUAACCCAGCCAGAGCCAAAAGGACCAGACGGAACAGAAUGGAGAGUAGAACUCAGGCCUGGCAGGUGAACCUAGACGUGGGACCCAGCCCCAUGGGUGCUCUAACCCAGCACCACUGAAGAAGCAGCUCUCGUGCUGAUUAGAAUAAAGGCAACACCAGAAAAUCAGCUUACACUCACCCAUGCCGGCCAGUCCUGCACACCUUCCUGCCUCUCCUUGCCCCUUUCCCUCUCGCACUCCUUCUCUCACACAUACACACACGCAUGCACACACGCACACGCAUGCACACACACUCACCUCUCUCUCCAGCUCCACGGCCCCAGCCUCUCACCAGCCUCCCUGCCUCCAUCAGUGGCAGGAACAUCUGCAGAGCUGAGAUGUGCCACCUUCCAUCCGGGAGCCUCCAGUCGCCUGCCUUCCCACUGGGAUGCUCCUGCCUUAACACACAGACUCCUACAGGUGCCUGUUCUCUGUGACACCGCAGUUUCGUUUCUUGGAAUUCAUCUGCCACGUGCGCAUAAUGACACAAGGUCAAGAUCAUUCGUCACAGCCUGAUUUUAAUAGCAAAGGGUUGGAAAUAACCUAAAUUUCCAUUAAUUAAAUCAGAAAUGUACAUUCAAUUUUUGGAAGAUUCACCUUCAUUAAAAUGAACAAGACAGCUCUCUCUCUCAGAAUAUUAACCCAGAAUAUGAAUAGUUAUACCGAAUGCUAACUCUACACAAAAGACGGGGCCCCCUACUGAAACCCAAGGCCCUCGGCUGUGGUGGACUGAAUGCCCCCAGGGCCCCUCCUGUCCAGGGUGGGCUCCUGACAUUCCCCCACCAGACACUGUAUCCGCUGUCCACUGCCACUGUAACAACUUGUCACCAACGUGAUGGCUUUGCCAAUACAAAGUUUGCAUCUUCAAACUCUACCGCCUCACUGGCCAGCACCAAGGAUUCAGCACCACCCUGUUCCCACAUGGCCGCUCCAGGGCACGUGCCACCUCCUUGCCCUUUCUGGCCGCCCCAGGCCACCCCCAUUCUUUGCCUUCCUGCCUCCCCUCUGGAAGCCACCCCUGCCCAUCUCUCUUCU